CCUCUGUGCCUCCAACUCCCUGCAAAUUAAUCAUUUUCCACACUUAAUGUGUACAUUCCCCUUCUCCUCGUAACACGACGGCUUCACAUGGUGUCCUGCAUUCCUCCUUGCUGCACCACAGCAGCCUUGGUCCUGCUCAGCUCCACCACCCAGGCUGUCCUCCUGCUUUCACAUCCUCUUACAUCCCAUUAUGUUUUUCUGUUUAUUUCUGCCUCAUGGAAGGUUUCAGGUGCUUCAUAAUCAGCUCUGCAUGAUAACAAGAUACAGAGCCCCAGAGAACUAGAGCUACAAAUCCAACUGACAGUGAAAGGUUUGUUUGCUCACUUUUGCCUUAGAUGGGUUCUUGCUGUUCCUGUCAAGCUUUAGGGGAUGAAACCAGGAAUACAUUAAUGAGAACUGUGAGAAACCUGCUUGUCACUUUGUAAUAACACUUGGUCUAAAAUGUUACUCUGCUCCUUAUCAAACUGUUGACUCUUUGUACUAGAACGUAUGAAGAUGCUGUUCUCAGACUGGGGCAGUACAUACUGAAUUCUACCUGUUUUGCACCCUUUGAACACCAUGAACAUGUCCUGUAACUAAACCCAAAAGUAUAACUGGAAUAACUUUUCCUUUGAGAUUGACCAGAAUCUGUUGUAAACAAAGAGAUUAUUGCUUGGAGGCACAGUUUCUGGCUCGUGUUGGGUAACUACAGGCUUCUAUUUUCUUCUUCAGAUAAAAGAAAUGUUAACAUUUAAAUACUUUGCUCAAGUUGUCUCUGUGGAGUUAAUUGAAGAAGCAGAACUCCAGGUGUUGUACAAGCCCGUUGUGACCAGCAACUAUUAAUUUAUACUAAAUUAUAGCUAUUUGCUUAUAACAAAUUUGUUUUAACACA